GUGUUCGAAAGGGAAACAGCCCAGACCACCAGCUAAGGUCCCAAAAUAUAUGUUAAGUGGAAAAGGAUGUGGCGUUGCCCAGACAACUAGGAUGUUGGCUUAGAAGCAGCCAUCAUUUAAAGAGUGCGUAAUAGCUCACUAGUCGAGUGACACUGCGCCGAAAAUGUACCGGGGCUAAACAUAUUACCGAAGCUGUGGAUUGUCCUUUGGACAAUGGUAGGAGAGCGUUCUAAGGGCGUUGAAGCAUGAUCGUAAGGACAUGUGGAGCGCUUAGAAGUGAGAAUGCCGGUGUGAGUAGCGAAAGACGGGUGAGAAUCCCGUCCACCGAUUGACUAAGGUUUCCAGAGGAAGGCUCGUCCGCUCUGGGUUAGUCGGGUCCUAAGCUGAGGCCGACAGGCGUAGGCGAUGGAUAACAGGUUGAUAUUCCUGUACCACCUAUAAUCGUUUUAAUCGAUGGGGGGACGCAGUAGGAUAGGCGAAGCGUGCGAUUGGAUUGCACGUCUAAGCAGUAAGGCUGAGUAUUAGGCAAAUCCGGUACUCGUUAAGGCUGAGCUGUGAUGGGGAGAAGACAUUGUGUCUUCGAGUCGUUGAUUUCACACUGCCGAGAAAAGCCUCUAGAUAGAAAAUAGGUGCCCGUACCGCAAACCGACACAGGUAGUCAAGAUGAGAAUUCUAAGGUGAGCGAGCGAACUCUCGUUAAGGAACUCGGCAAAAUGACCCCGUAACUUCGGGAGAAGGGGUGCUCUUUAGGGUUAACGCCCAGAAGAGCCGCAGUGAAUAGGCCCAAGCGACUGUUUAUCAAAAACACAGGUCUCUGCUAAACCGUAAGGUGAUGUAUAGGGGCUGACGCCUGCCCGGUGCUGGAAGGUUAAGAGGAGUGGUUAGCUUCUGCGAAGCUACGAAUCGAAGCCCCAGUAAACGGCGGCCGUAACUAUAACGGUCCUAAGGUAGCGAAAUUCCUUGUCGGGUAAGUUCCGACCCGCACGAAAGGCGUAACGAUUUGGGCACUGUCUCAACGAGAGACUCGGUGAAAUCAUAGUACCUGUGAAGAUGCAGGUUACCCGCGACAGGACGGAAAGACCCCGUGGAGCUUUACUGUAGCCUGAUAUUGAAAUUCGGCACAGCUUGUACAGGAUAGGUAGGAGCCUUUGAAACGUGAGCGCUAGCUUACGUGGAGGCGCUGGUGGGAUACUACCCUAGCUGUGUUGGCUUUCUAACCCGCACCACUUAUCGUGGUGGGAGACAGUGUCAGGCGGGCAGUUUGACUGGGGCGGUCGCCUCCUAAAAGGUAACGGAGGCGCUCAAAGGUUCCCUCAGAAUGGUUGGAAAUCAUUCAUAGAGUGUAAAGGCAUAAGGGAGCUUGACUGCGAGACCUACAAGUCGAGCAGGGUCGAAAGACGGACUUAGUGAUCCGGUGGUUCCGCAUGGAAGGGCCAUCGCUCAACGGAUAAAAGCUACCCCGGGGAUAACAGGCUUAUCUCCCCCAAGAGUUCACAUCGACGGGGAGGUUUGGCACCUCGAUGUCGGCUCAUCGCAUCCUGGGGCUGUAGUCGGUCCCAAGGGUUGGGCUGUUCGCCCAUUAAAGCGGUACGCGAGCUGGGUUCAGAACGUCGUGAGACAGUUCGGUCCCUAUCCGUCGUGGGCGUAGGAAAUUUGAGAGGAGCUGUCCUUAGUACGAGAGGACCGGGAUGGACAUACCUCUGGUGUACCAGUUGUCGUGCCAACGGCAUAGCUGGGUAGCUAUGUGUGGACGGGAUAAGUGCUGAAAGCAUCUAAGCAUGAAGCCCCCCUCAAGAUGAGAUUUCCCAACUUCGGUUAUAAGAUCCCUCAAAGAUGAUGAGGUUAAUAGGUUCGAGGUGGAAGCAUGGUGACAUGUGGAGCUGACGAAUACUAAUCGAUCGAAGACUUAAUCAA
rnacentral:rRNA from 1 species